rnacentral:rRNA from 1 species
AACACAUGCAAGUCGAGGGGCAGCAUGGUCUUAGCUUGCUAAGGCUGAUGGCGACCGGCGCACGGGUGGGUAACACGUAUCCAACCUGCCGUCUACUCUUGGCCAGCCUUCUGAAAGGAAGAUUAAUCCAGGAUGGGAUCAUGAGUUCACAUGUCCGCAUGAUUAAAGGUAUUUUCCGGUAGACGAUGGGGAUGCGUUCCAUUAGAUAGUAGGCGGGGUAACGGCCCACCUAGUCAACGAUGGAUAGGGGUUCUGAGAGGAAGGUCCCCCACAUUGGAACUGAGACACGGUCCAAACUCCUACGGGAGGCAGCAGUGAGGAAUAUUGGUCAAUGGGCGAUGGCCUGAACCAGCCAAGUAGCGUGAAGGAUGACUGCCCUAUGGGUUGUAAACUUCUUUUAUAAAGGAAUAAAGUCGGGUAUGCAUACCCGUUUGCAUGUACUUUAUGAAUAAGGAUCGGCUAACUCCGUGCCAGCAGCCGCGGUAAUACGGAGGAUCCGAGCGUUAUCCGGAUUUAUUGGGUUUAAAGGGAGCGUAGAUGGAUGUUUAAGUCAGUUGUGAAAGUUUGCGGCUCAACCGUAAAAUUGCAGUUGAUACUGGAUGUCUUGAGUGCAGUUGAGGCAGGCGGAAUUCGUGGUGUAGCGGUGAAAUGCUUAGAUAU